UGUCCCACUAGGUUUGAGUUUUGUGUACUUCCUUAAAGAAGGUAACACCGUGGAGAAAAUUGUGCUAAUGGGGUACAAGCACUUCAUGUGAAGAGAGAGAGAGAGCUGAAAAAGCUUAAUCGGUAUCAUAAGAAGGUGUAAAAAUUCCCCCUGCUUCACAUAAGAACAGAGUGAUGAGUGCAGAAGAGAACAGACUUCAACACGAUUGUCACAGACUCCGUCUCUUCAACUUCCGUCUCUCCUAGAUUCCGGGAAGCUGGCGAAAUGUCCCUGAAUUAAUAGUGCUGACAAGCUACUUUUCAUCUUAUUGCUCUCCUGCUCAAGAAUUCCCAGGAGUCCCUAUUUACCCACACGGCCACCCCAGCUCCCAGCCUGCUGUGCGACUGACUGUCUUCUUUACAGCGUGGCCCCACGCACCCUCUCCACCUGGCUCUCUGGGACCUGCGUCUUCUGCUCCCCCGACUUCAAUGUCUUUGCAGUUUUUCUCGGUCUAUAAAACCAAGCUGCUUUGCUCCACCCAUCAUAAAUGUAUUUCAAACUGGGCAUGGUGGUGCACGCCUGUAAUCCCAGCACUUGGGAGGCUGAGGCAAGAGGAUCACUGGGAGUUCAAGCCAGCCUGCCCUACAUAGUGAGACCCUGUCUCAAAAAGAAAAGAAAAGAGAAUGUAUUCCAUUUUGUGGCAUAAAGUGCUGCUGAUUCUAGAAGUGAAAAUAAAGCCAAUUAACGCCUUUAAAUAAAUUUGCUGUAAUUUUGUCUCUUUAACAGUUGUGUACCAUGUACUUAUACAAUCAGCACUAUAACUGAAGUAUGUCUUUUCACCUAUUUAGCCUCAAAUGUUAAAUAAUAAAAGUUAAAAUUCAAAAGGAGAAUCAAACUUCGGUCCCUUCCUUACUGACAUACAAUAAAUUUGAAAGAAAACAUUCUUUGUAUAAAUAACAUUAAAUGCCAGAAUUAACCCAUGUGUUUGAAGUCUAAAAUCUGUUUGGAAUUCUAACAAUCAUCCUAAGAGAGGCCGGGGAUUUAGCUCAAUGGUUCCACCUGACUCACAAGCACAAGGUCCUGGGUUCGAUCCCUGGUACCAAAAAAUAAAUAAAAAUAAAUAAAAAAGAGACUCACUGUUCUUUCAAAAACCUUUUUCUAUAUUUCACAUGUCAGUUCCCGAAAUUUGUAUUUAUGAAGAGAAUUUAGUAAAUCUAAUCAUCAGCAAAUAUAUAAAAAUUAG
rnacentral:lncRNA from 1 species